rnacentral:pre_miRNA from 1 species
UGCUCCCUCUCUCACAUCCCUUGCGUGGUGGAGGGUGAGCUUUCUGAAAACCCCUCCCACAUGCAGGGUUUGCAGGAUGGUGAGCC